CAAUCCCCGAGACAUCGUGUCCGCGUUUGUUGUUCAGUGCUUCGGUCUCACGGGAAGUAACAGUCAGCACAUUUUGUUAAAUACACCGAAGGUGAAACACGGCUCGUUCGUUCAUUCUCCAUUAUGGAUAUACGUACCGAUAUACCUACGUCAAGACUCUUGCAAAUAAUUCCGCCUGUCCGUUGGCAACCGUAUCAGCCUUCUCUUAUCGAUAUUUGUCUUGGGGCCCAUGAAGCUGGUCUCCAUGAUUUGGUUCAGAAUUUUCGAAAGAAAGAAACUACGUGGUCAAUGAAAUGUUAUCACCACUGACGGAGAAUUGGAUAUUUUAAUAAUUUAUCAAAGUGUAAGUGCGAGGCUUCCAAAUGCAGACUUCGUUUCCAGGAAUAACCGAUUGAGUCCUACAUGCGCAAGUCUCCGUGUGUAAACAAGUCCAGACAGAAUACACGAUCGAUGAAUAACGGUAAGAUGUGUCACGAUUGAAACGGCUUCGUCAACUCAACAAUAAGUUUACGAUCAGUGGAUAUGACUCUUGGCUCUGCAUAUGACGUCUUCCGAGUUCUGACCGAUAACCGGAAAGCAAUUGUUUCAAUAAAAAUUGAAUCGAACUUCGGUGGCGAGUCGAGCGGUCUUUUAAGGAUAAGCAUAGAUCUAAUUAGCCUAUUAUUCAUCGCUCCAGAUCCGAGAAUCGACAAAAUGUGAAAUAAAAUUUAUGAAUGUCAAAUGUUACGUGAACAGCGCUAAUUGAUCGAACAUUUUUACUGGAUUACCCCUUUUGCGAGUAGUAAAAUUUAUCUACAUUACUUUUUUCAUCGUCAAAGAUUCGUGGUGAGAACAUCUGUAAUGAUUUCUAUAAAC